rnacentral:rRNA from 1 species
AGUUGAGCGGAGAUAUAUGGAGCUUGCUUUAUAUAACUUAGCAGCGAACGGGUGAGUAACACGUAGAUAAUCUAUCCUAUACUGGGGGAUAGCCCGAUGAAAGUUGGAUUAAUACCGCAUAUAGCUAUAUAGUUGCAUGAUUAUGUAGUGAAAGAUUUAUUGGUAUAGGAGGAGUCUGCGGCACAUUAGCUAGUAGGUGAGGUAAAGGCUUACCUAGGCGACGAUGUGUAGCCGGUCUGAGAGGAUGAACGGCCACAAUGGAACUGAGACACGGUCCAUACUCCUACGGGAGGCAGCAGUGGGGAAUAUUGCACAAUGGGGGAAACCCUGAUGCAGCAACGCCGCGUGAGUGAAGAAGGUUUUCGGAUUGUAAAGCUCUGUUAGCAGGGAAGAGGAAGGACGGUACCUGCAGAGGAAGCCACGGCUAACUACGUGCCAGCAGCCGCGGUAAUACGUAGGUGGCAAGCGUUGUUCGGAAUAACUGGGCGUAAAGGAUGCGUAGGCGGUUAAACAAGUUAUAUGUUAAAUAUAUAGGCUUAACCUGUAGAAAGCAUAUAAAACUGUUUAACUAGAGUGCAGGAGAGGUAAGUGGAAUUCCUAGUGUAGCGGUGAAAUGCGUAGAGAUUUGGAAGAACACCAGUGGCGAAGGCGACUUACUGGACUGUAACUGACGCUGAGGCAUGAGAGCAUGGGGAGCAAACAGGAUUAGAUACCCUGGUAGUCCAUGCUGUAAACGAUGGGUACUAGGUGUGGGUUGUGAAUAACAAUUCGUGCCGUCGCAAACGCAAUAAGUACCCCGCCUGAGGAGUACGAUCGCA